CCCAAAUUCCCUGGGAAGCCAUCUUUAAGAUGAAUUCCUUAGAAGCGAAUCGGAAUCUGGCCUUCUUGGACCGGUGGCCUUAGACGGCAUUGAUCUUGCCAACCUUGAUCAGAGCACUGAGUCAUGGGUCGACCUUGUGAAGGCAAUCGAUGGUUCGACCCAAGAAAGAAAGAUUUACAUAUCAGGAGCUCCACGUUGCGAACUCACAAACUUCGACAGCGCAAUCGCUACUGGUCUUGUGGAUUAUCUUUUUGUUUUAUACUAUGGCCAAUACGCGACGUGCGAAUAUUUAGGAAAUGGCGACUUCACGGGGCUUCUUGAAUCAUGGUCGACGUGGACGUCCAAGGAAGGUGUAGCUGAUCAUACCUCUGUGUUCUUGGGGUUAGUAGCGUCAGAUGACCCAGCUGCAGCAUCCAGUGGUUACAUAUCACCAGAACAGCUCGAGUCUGUGGUUUUUCCGAACGUGACUGAAUCUUCAAACUUUGGUGGAGUGAUGAUAUGGAACAGGUACUAUGAUGAGCUAACUAGUUAUACUACUGAUAUUAAGGAUGCUUCUGGCAUGAAAGUUUGUAAAUAUGUUCGUCGUGUUCCUGCCUCAAGGAAAUUCAGAAGUUUCUUGGCCAAAUCUGUGUAAGAUGGGAAGGGAUGUAAUAAUAGCUUGACAUAGCUAUAUCUAUGUCUAGCUACAGCUAGGCUUGCAUGCCAGUGUGACUGUAUGAUCCAUGCAUGUUUUACUAAAACCAUGUAAUGGAUAUCUCCCUUUAAAUAAAGAUCUACUUUUGUAAA